rnacentral:rRNA from 1 species
UACGUAGUGGGCAAGCGUUGUCCGGAAUCAUUGGGCGUAAAGAGCGUGUAGGCGGCCUGAUAAGUCGGCUGUGAAAGUCAAGGGCUCAACCCUUGAAUGCCGGCCGAUACUGUCAGGCUAGAAUCCGGAAGAGGCGAGUGGAAUUCCUGGUGUAGCGGUGAAAUGCGCAGAUAUCAGGAGGAACACCGAUGGCGAAGGCAGCUCGCUGGGACGGUAUUGACGCUGAGACGCGAAAGCGUGGGGAGCGAACAGG